CACAUCGAGAUGCUGAGGAACAGCUUGAGAGACACGCACAAGUCUAUUUUAAGGAACUAAAAGCCAAUGAAUCAUUAUCCAAGGAAUUAGAUAGAGCUAACAGGAGACUACUGAAGGUGAGUGCCAAACUCCGAAAUGAAAGGCAGAGGGAUGAAACUUUAAGGGCCAGUUUUACUGCAAGUCCCAUUCUGGAGCCACCUCCUACUGAGCCUCCUAACAGUAGUUCACUCUUCAACGGAGGACUGAUUCCAAGGAAAUGGAGGACAUGCUUUUGGAAUCACAGUGUCUUUGAACAGUAGAGCCAAUGCCUAUUUUAGAAAGGUUUUUGAUGAAGAGAAAAUUUUGAAAAGGAACCAAACAGAGAACUUCAAAAUCGGAAAUCGCAAAGUUAUUAAGAAUUAUUAAAGUAUUUGUAUUUGUAGAAAUAAAAAUUGUUGCCCUU
rnacentral:lncRNA from 1 species